rnacentral:rRNA from 1 species
UACGUAGGGUGCGAGCGUUGUCCGGAAUUAUUGGGCGUAAAGAGCUUGUAGGCGGUUUGUCGCGUCUGCCGUGAAAUCCGGGGCUCAACCCCGGACUGCGGUGGGUACGGGCAGACUAGAGUGUGGUAGGGGAGACUGGAAUUCCUGGUGUAGCGGUGAAAUGCGCAGAUAUCAGGAGGAACACCCGAGCGGAAGGCGGCGCU